ACCGAGGCCUGCUCUCUUCUCUUCUCCCCCUCGGUGUGACAGGACACUAACCCAAAGGACAGAUCUACCUGCAGAAGGCUAGAAAUUUUCACCACAGGCUAUCGAAUUCCCUCAUGUUACAUACUGGGGGAACAGAGGGAAGAUGCCAGAGAUGGCGAAACUCUGACAGCAGCAGGCUCUGAUAGCUACUGCCUCGAAUGUCCGAUCUCUUUUCACAAAACAAAGAAGAAAAGCCCUCCUCUUGUGGCAGAAGCAUCUGGAGUUCCUAUCACAAAAUGAGGAAACUGAGGAUCAGGGAGGAAGGAGACGGACACACAGCAGGCCAGUGGCAGUGUUGGAUCAGGUUAGAACCCUGACAGCCCAUCUCUUGCUCUUUCCAUUAGACCACAUUGCCUGUUACUUCCUAUCAUCGUUCAUGAAACUCAUCUUUUACCGGACUCUGGGAAAACUCUUUUCUUCAGGUGCCAUAUAUGGCAAAAUCAUGUUCUGUGUUGAUCCACUAAACAGCAUGGAUAAUCAAUAGAAAUGCGAUCGACAGCAUUGACUUUUAUUUUUAAAGCAUGAUGAUCCUAUUGAAUGUUUUAAAAUCAGCAUGUCCAUUUUGUUUCUAUUAAGUAAUGCCCUAUUUAUUGAUUUGGCACCAGUUUCCUAAUUGACAGCAUAAGACUCCUCAAAUGUCAGCUGCCUUUAGAGCUCACAAGCCGGGGCAGUUGAGUAUCCUCAAAUCUUGGCUGGUCAAUUUUUUAAAAAACGAGAAACUAAAUAAUGUCCUGGACCAGGAGAAAUAACUCCUUUCAAAUGAAAUGAAAAACAGAGGUCCGCUCAUGUAGCACUUUGAGAAGUGGGUGUCGUCUCUAACAUUCACAUUUCCAUUCAGAAAAUUCUUUCCUGACCAGCGUAAUUUUUUCUUGAUAUUCUGAUUGCAUAAUGUAUUGAACUUCUCUUACUACCUGCUGGGGGGUGGA